CUUAAAACUGGCAAGAGGCUUCUAAGAUUUAUACAUAUUUCAAAGGGGCAGAGAAAGAAUUUGCAAUUACAAGUUUUACAAAGUAAUUGCUCUGAGAAAAGGGAGGUCAGGGGCCUACAGUCAAGAAGAAACCUGUCUGAAGUUUAGUCAAGUGGCAACGGUAAUAUUAAGGCCUUCUUGGUCACCAUGGAGAACAAAGAAAAGGCUUAUUUUUCCCCCUAAGAUCUCAGCUUCUCCAAGUUAGAAAAUUCCUGUCUCAAAGAAUCUUUACAAGUAAAAAAAAAAAAAAACAAAAAAAAAAUAGUGAAGGAAAGAAGAAAGGAAGAAAGGAAACAGAGAGGAAAGGGUGCUUUUUCUGAGAAAUAAUAUCUUAGCUUUACACUUGCCCAGCACUGUUGCAGGCUGACAUCAUAAACAAGACACAGUUCCACCUUUCAAGUUCAAAGUCUAAUAGGGCAGACAAGAACCAAAAAUGGUAACACAAAGGGCAAACAUUAUAAGAGGCCUAUACAAAUGCAUUGGGAGGACAGUUAACAACAGCAGCUCACAUUUAUUAAGCACAUAUGUUCUAACAGCUUUGCGUUUAAUCCUCGCAAAACCCUUGACGUACUAGGAUUACCUCCAUUCUGAGAUGCAGAACUCGGGCUGAGAGAGGUUAAGUAAAAAUCACUCAAAAAUGCUCAAAAUCACGCCGCGUUUCAAACGAUGUAGCCGCAGUUCUAACUCGGGUACCGGUCCCUGAGCCUGCACUCCUAAAGAGAUACAAAGUCACCUGUCGCCGGGGGGCGCCCGACCAGGCUCCAUGGGCCGAAAAUGUGGGAGGAGAACCCAAGAAUUCUAUCCAUGGUCCCCACGCAACCCGCCUUCACAUCGCGGCCUGGCCCUCGGCUCCCUCACGUCUAAAGACGACGGCAUGUUUCCCGGCCCAGUUCGGAGCCGCAUCCCCAAUCUAGCCAGAAGGCCCUGGGCCCUGACCUGGUGACAACCGAGAGAGGAGCUGGGCGUGGUCUGCGCGGAGAAUCUGCGGCCAAUCCCCAGCCUCUCGGAUCGCCGCCAUGGCAACCAAUGAGCGCCUGCUCCUCUGUCCCCCGCCCGGGCCGGAUCGCACGAACGCGACCGCCUCUAGGAAACACCAGCUAUUCUGGGAGCCUCCGCGGCCGCCAGCCCCCGCUGGAGAUGCAGACCUUGGGCCUGGGAUACCCUCCCAGCAGAGUGGAACUGCUGAAACGCCGCGCCCCUUUGGCGGAGGACGGGAUGGGAUGGGAUGGGAUGGGGGCGGAGCAAGGCUGGAGGCAGGCCUGAGCGGAGAUCUUUGCCAAUCACUUCGAGUCACCUAGCUCCCAGCCUUGUCCACGGAUCCGUGGCCUAAUUCUUUCCACGUGAUAGACCCUUUUAACGAAUUGCAUAAUUGUUGGGCUUCUCUUCCCUCUUUUGGACAACGGCAGUGUUAUCUGAGCUUCCUUUCCUUUCCUGUUACCCACUUAAGGAGGCCUUCCCCGACCCCUCCCCUUUCUGGGUUUGCUAGACUUCUUUGAGUUCCCUUCAUAACCUAUGCGUUUUCCUGACGCUGAACUCUUUCUUAUUUUUCUGUCUUCUCCACUAGUCUGUAAUUCAUUUUUUAGUUCUUAGCACAGUCCCUGGCCAUAGGAGGUGUUCAAUAAAAUUUUAAGCAGAAUCCUGCUGUACUCCCCAAAUAAAAGCAAAGCUGUUCUGAUGGGAGAGGAGAGAGAGUGUCCAGAGCCCUGAACUCCCAAGGAAGUCCUUGAGGCACCUAUUGUUAGUGACUUCAGCUGAAAUAUUCAGUUUAAUAUACAGAAGUAUGCUUUACCCAGGACAUGAAAAUUAAACGUAUCUAGAGCCUCCAAGAGCACUCUUAAAAGUCUCAUCUUUUGGGACUUCCAAUCUGAUUACAUGCGUUUCUUUUUAUUUUCCAGUCUAAAGACCUAGAUAUCUGCUCGCAUCUUCAGAUCAAUCCCUCACCUUCUUCACCCAGCUCUGGGCUUGGAGGCUGACCCGCAGGGACCGUGUCAACAGUUUCCCUUACCUCUGGCUUUCUAUUGGGUUCGGCCAAUGAGAAGCAUAGGCAGAAGACCAGAGGGAAGUAGGAGUGUGAACUUAGGGAGUUUGAAAUUGGUAUGCUAUGGGAUGUGAGUCAUUUCUCCGCUGGAACAGGCAGACACUCAAGCUAGGCAGCAGUUGUCUUCUCCCAUGUAUGUGAAGAAGCAAAGAAAGAUGAUGGGCAGAGAGAAUAGGUUGAAGUCAGAGGACGGAGGAAAGCAGAGAGAGAAGACCAUGUUUCCAGAGAAAGACCCUGAGAUAGUGGCUGCCCUGUUUCGGUCAGCUUUGGAGGCCCAGUUGCUUUCUUGCUCUAGGGUUUUGUGGGAUAGCCUUGCAUCCUUAUAAUAAACUGUUUUUUCCUCACAACUAUUACAAAUGGGUUUCUAUGUCUUACAACCAAAAACGUUUUAACUGAGACAAUACCUACCUCAGCGUAGUUAUGAGGAGUAAAUGAGAUAAAGUAUUUCAGGCACCUAAAUCAGCACCUCCAAAAAUGUUACUUUCUCCCUUCCAGCUGUAAAUAGCACCCCAUAUGCCCUGAGCAUCAGAC
ensembl:lncRNA